GCUGCAAUAUGAUUAUUCUCUAUAUCAUUCUCUGAAUGUGGGUAAAUUUACAUUUUACAUUUACAUUACAGAUUAUUUUACGCUGGGUUCUGGAGCACUAGAUGAAGUGAAUGAUUGGAUUCGGGCUCCAGCCGUCUACCUCUUCCAUUUAUUUGAAGGUCUGCUGGAUUUGGUGAUUCUCCAACCUCUGGAAAUAAUCAGUGGAGCAGUUGAAUUAAUUGUAGAUCUAACAAUGACCGUCCUGAACACUGUCUCGAGUGUGUUCAAGAGUGCUGGAGCUUGGAUCCCUUCUAUCGGCCUGAGUCCAGUGGACUUAGCCAGCAGUGCUCUGGAAGGAGCUGGAAACCUCAAAAGUGCCCUCUUCACCCACAUAUCCAGCCUGUUUUCUGGAGAUGAAGGUAUGCAAAGCUAUUGAAAAAUGAGAUAUAAGUUUUAGAAUGGCUUUACCUUCAUGAGAACUGUAUUUUGGUCCCAUUUGUAUUCUGAGAGUCCACUAUAGAUUAUUUACUAAUGAUCAAACUGCCUACUGAAGCUGCUGAUUAUGUAUAAUAUUGGUUUUAGAUGGUUGGUUUCAU
rnacentral:lncRNA from 1 species